AUUUCGUACAAUAGCAAUGAAGUGCUGUAAUAAGGGAGUGAUUGCCAAGAAGAGUUCACAGAGGUGGCAAAGACUCGAAAUUCAUCCCAAAAAGAUAUCGGGUGGAGUGAGGGGCUCAUUCGGUAGUGUUAGUGAUUGCUAAUUCAUAGAUGGUUGGGCACCUCUUGAUGCUGCAGGAACCUCUUCAUCUGUUUCUCAGCCAAUUUGAUUUCAUUUCUUUGUUUCUAUACACACAAAGGGGAGAUAACAUUUCUUUCUUUCGUUAAUUAGAUUUAUCAUUCUCAUAUUUGUAGCA